CAUCACCCCAGAGAUUGCUUCAGUUUUGGUAUUCACACCUCAUCAGUACUUUCAGUAGACUUGUGUAAUUGGAAAUCUCAUGCCUUUGAACUACAUUUCCCAGGGGCCACUGACUUCCUGCCAUUAUGUGCUGACAUAGACAGAAGAUAAAUUGGGGGUGGAGAGUUCCAUGUCUAGGCCUCUUUCCUUCCUGGGUCAGUACAUUGGUGGAGGAAGCUGUUUGAACAGGUAGAUUAGCCAUGGAGAGAUGGAUCUGGCUAGUGAUUUACUGUGAGCAUCCUGGGUACCAUUUCGAUCCUGGAACUUAGCCUGGAGGCGCUCCCUCAGACAGCUUCCUUGAGAUGGUCUCGUGUUCUUCCUCUGGAUGUGGAUAGUGUUCUUUCUCAUAAGUCCCUCAAGAUUGUCCUGGAUCACUGCAUUGCUACUAGUAGAGAAGUCCAUUACAAUCGAUUAUACCACAGU
rnacentral:lncRNA from 1 species